UAAGUUCCCCGCCUGGGGAGUACGGCCGCAAGGCUAAAACUCAAAGGAAUUGACGGGGGCCCGCACAAGCGGCGGAGCAUGCGGAUUAAUUCGAUGCAACGCGAAGAACCUUACCAAGGCUUGACAUAUAGAGGAAAAGUGCAGAAAUGUACUCCCCGCAAGGUCUCUAUACAGGUGGUGCAUGGUUGUCGUCAGCUCGUGUCGUGAGAUGUUGGGUUAAGUCCCGCAACGAGCGCAACCCUCGUCCUAUGUUGCCAGCACGUAAUGGUGGGAACUCAUGGGAGACUGCCGGGGUCAACUCGGAGGAAGGUGGGGAUGACGUCAAAUCAUCAUGCCCCUUAUGUCUUGGGCUUCACGCAUGCUACAAUGGCCGGUACAGAGGGCUGCAAUAUCGCAAGAUGGAGCGAAUCCCACAAAGCCGGUCUCAGUUCGGAUUGAGGUCUGCAACUCGACCUCAUGAAGUUGGAGUCGCUAGUAAUCGUGGAUCAGCAACGCCACGGUGAAUACGUUCCCGGGCCUUGUACACACCGCCCGUCAAGUCAUGAAAGUCGGUAACACCCGAAGCCGGUGGCCUAACCUUUUGGAAGGAGCCGUCGAAGGUGGGAUCGGUGAUUAGGACUAAGUCGUAACAAGGUAACCAAGGGCGAA
rnacentral:rRNA from 1 species